UGAAAAAUCAGGACCAAUAAGGAGGAAUAAGGAUUAGAGCUAGGUUGUUUUGUGGACCUAAAUUAAAUUAGGGUCAAGGUGGGUUUGGCCCAUUUAAGGGGACUCAGUAUCUCUCUCUCUCUCACCGGCUCUCUCUUUUGUUUUAAUGGAGGUGUAAGCAGUGGCGAUCGAAGUGCUUGGAUCUGUUCUCUUGUUCGACUGCCCUGCCACCGACGACGUUUGCCACAGCCCACCGGCGACUCUGCAAAAUUGGAUUUGUCAUGAAGGUGAGGUCAUCAGUGAAGAAACUCUGCGAGUUCUGUAGGACGGUCAAACGUCGUGGAAGAGUGUAUGUGUUAUGCACAUCUAAUCCAAAGCACAAACAACGCCAAGGACUAUCAACAUUUGCGUAUGAAGGUCCACUGCCUCCUGUGACGUCUGAAGUGGGUGCCAAGCAGGAGAUUUCUUCAAGUUAUGGCUCAGAGUUGGGUCUGGCAUCUCUCCUUUCCAAAAGGCAAGUGCCACCGCUGAUUUAUGGCUGGAGGGUAGGUUUGGCAUCCCUUCUGCCAAAGCAGAACAAGUGAUCAUCGACAUUACCAUUUCAGAAAGUAUUAAUGUAAGUUGAUGAAGAUACAAGCUUACAGAUUCAGGUAUUGUGGAAGAGUUGGUGGAAAUAUUGUUCAUUGAUCUGUUGCAACUUGCUUUGUCAGUUGAUUAGUUGGAUAUGGUCGCCCAUUUGGACCAGCUGCUGUUAUAUUUCUUCUUCAUUUUGUAGUUUUUUUCUUCGUAAUUGGUAUAACUAUGUUCCAUAGAUGAAUGCCUAAUUGGUUGUUGGGUUA